rnacentral:rRNA from 1 species
AUACGGAGGGUGCAAGCGUUAAUCGGAAUUACUGGGCGUAAAGCGUACGUAGGCGGUUAUUUAAGUCAGAUGUGAAAGCCCCGGGCUUAACUUGGGAACUGCAUUUGAAACUGGGUAACUAGAGUUUAGUAGAGGGGAGUGGAAUUUCAGGUGUAGCGGUGAAAUGCGUAGAGAUCUGAAGGAACACCAGUGGCGAAGGCGACUCCCUGGACUAAAACUGACGCUGAGGUACGAAAGCGUGGGUAGCAAACAGGAUUAGAUACCCGAGUAGUCC